GGAUCAAUUUAACACAAUUCCAAUACUUUCCAUUGUUAUUUAUACAUAACAGUCAGGAAAGUAAAAAUAAAAUUCAUUUUUAAUUCAGAAUUUAACUUAUUAUUAUUAUUUUUUUAUUUUCUGAAAAGGAUUUCCAAAUUCUGCAUUGAAGAUUCAGUUAUAAAUUUCUUUUAAUUUAAUGCAAUGUAAAAUACCGUUAUCAUUAGUUAUAAUGUAUAAUUUUGUAAUUUAUUCUAUAUAAUAAUGGAUAAAUUGAUGAAAUAAAAUAUGAUGGAGAAUCAAAAACUUGUUUGACAAUUUUUUCCCUGGCUAUGAUAAUGUAAAUACCAGUUUUAAAGUUAUGUCAAAAUGUAGACAUCUUUCGUGCAGUUGUCUCAUAUAAUUGCCCUUCCAAUCUGGUAAAAUUGAAUUGGUAAUGAGUUAGGAUCAUACCUGUGAAAAAUGAGCUUGUCCUUGGCAUAAUUUUUGUAAAGAUAGCAACAUGAAAGUAGCAUCAGACUAGCAACAAAUUUCAGUUGGAAAUAUAUACCAUAUAUAUAGGUCCAUAUACAUAGGCUUAUAUUAUAGGAACAGCCCACUAAGAAAUUGGGAAUUUCCCAGUAGGCUAGUCCACUACUGUGUGCAAGUUGAAAAACUGGAUGCAUCACAGAUAAAUUGCAAAUGGGCAAAGGUAUUGUCAAACUUUGGUGGCUGUUUCGAAGAAAAGGCCUGGAUUUUUGACCAAAGACAUGAUCCUUUUGAUGACAACACAAGACAACAUUGUCAAAAGUGUUAAAGGUACCCUUGAAGAAAUUAUUUCGGAAAGGUCUGGACCAUUCUCCAUACAGUCCAGAUCUUGCAUCCAGUAAUUUCCAUUUUUUCCCUAAGCUGAAGUACUGUACAUUUUGCAAAGUCAACAUAUCCAGUCAGACAAUGAUAUGGAAGUUACAUUGCAGGAAUGCUUUAAGAGACUGGCCUAAAUUUCUUCAGAUAUGGUAUUGAAAAAGUAUUGUAGUGCUGGGUCAAACUCAAUGAUUAUACGGAAAAUAGAAGAUUGUUUGAUGUGCAUUGUAAUAUUGCUUUUGUUGCAAUAAAUAUGUAAUAAAAGAACAUAAGUUGUCAAACUUUUCUUUUGAUUCUCACUUGUAAUAUUUAUCAUCCAAAAUAUAUAUAAAGUUAAUUAGAAAAUUUUCAUAUAAUAAGCAUUUAAAACAAGGAUAGUUUUGUGAUAUUUAUUAUAUAAACAUUUUUUUUUAUUUAGAUUAUUUCUUAUUAUGGAAAAUAUAAAAGUAACAUAAAUGAAAUAAACCUGAAUUUAGGAGGUUAUAUCCUAACUUCUAUUAAUUGCAAUUCAUUGAGUCCUAGAUUAAAGAUGAUUCCAAAUUGGAAAGAGAUGAGUAUGACAAUUGCAAUUAAAUCAAAAAAUCCAAAAAAAUGUUUUCACAUUUAUAGCUUUUAUUUGAGAAAAUUCACAAACAAAUGUUCCAAGAUUGAUAAAAUUUUAUAUCAAAUGAAUGUAACUUAUGAUGAAGUAA